GCUUAGUUCGUGAUUAUGAUAGCAUGGUUAGCCUUCGCUUAGUCGGUUAGCUGUGUUGGAUUAGAGGUUAGAGUAGCUUCCUUUAUUGUGUUAAUCUGUGAUUGGAAGCAUAGUGAUUGAGUUAAUGACCAAUCGUUUUUAUUUUGUAUUUGAUUUCGUUUUUACAUUUGUGUUUGCUUUUGUGUUUGCAUCCGCAUUUUGAUUUAAUUCAUCUGCAGUCACAAACCUUUCACAAACCCCCC
rnacentral:lncRNA from 1 species